UACGUAGGGUGCAAGCGUUGUCCGGAAUUAUUGGGCGUAAAGAGCUCGUAGGCGGUUUGUCGCGUCUGCUGUGAAAACCCGAGGCUCAACCUCGGGCCUGCAGUGGGUACGGGCAGACUAGAGUGGCGGUAGGGGAGAUUGGAAUUCCUGGUGUAGCGGUGAAAUGCGCAGAUAUCGAGGAGGACACCGGUGGCGAAGGCGGGUCUCUGGGCAACACUGACGCUGAGGAGCGAAAGCGUGGGGAGCGAACAGG
rnacentral:rRNA from 1 species